GUUCACAGGGAUGGCCGGCCGGCAGCUGAGGGGGCAGCCAGGAGAACUUCACGUUCUCAGUCAGGCCCUUGAAGCCAUGAGCAAAGAUGACAGCCCAUCCUCCACUAAUCUGGAAAUUCAGGCAAUUUUUGGACAAAGAUCUGCAGAACUAAGGUCAUCUGCUGGACUCAGAGAACCAGGGUCCCAAGAACACUAUCAGGAGACUGUGAAGAGACCACCACCACUCAAUGUCACUGGAGCUCCCGGCACAGCUGAUGCUGGCCAUAGCUGAGCCUGUGGGAGGCUCCCAUAGCUCCUGCCUUCUCCCUCCCUGUUGAGAGUUCCCUCCCUCCAGCCCUCAGACCCUCCCCACCCCUUUUUUUUGCCCCCAUCUCAUCCCUUCACUUUCCCUUCCAUUAAUAAACAGUUUGGUUUUCCCCCCUUA